UUCUAUUGGUGUACUCAUUGAUCAUUUCUGGGAAUGUUUGUUCUUGAGCAAGUGUUAAUGUUGAAUGUUCUUUGGUUCGAUUCAUGAUAUAUGUGAUGUUUUGAUGAAAAUUGAUGUUGGAUUCUUACUUGCCAUGCCAUGCUGAACAUUUCUGUGUAACCAAUUUGGAAUUCUGGGAAAUUUCAUGAAAACACGAUUUG
rnacentral:lncRNA from 1 species